CCGUGUGACAGCGUGCUAAUGACACUCGGGGCGAAGUGCACUCGCUCAAAGUGCACUUAGGUUGUCCCGUGUGACAGGGGUAUAAAUCUUCUUUUUCUCUCACUGGAUAGAAAAGCCUCGCUACUGUUUUUUUUUUCCUUUAAAAUCUGUCAUCUCAACCCAGAAUUGAUGCAUGAACUGCUUUCAAAUGCCUUCUAUAGCUAAUCUCGUGCAUGCAUUAAUACAUAUAUGGUGUUCCGUUUUGUAUGUAUAACCAAAUUUUUUUUACUCAUUUGUCCUUCAUAGAAGUAAACAUUGGAACACUUUGUCGACCUCCAUAGCAUUUGUAAGCUUACUCAGAAGUAUUUAGAGUUGCACUUGAAGAAUAUAUAUGCUGUAAUAUAUGUUUGUUUCCCUACAUAUUUAGAGCUCCUCUUGAAUUUAUGCUGUACUGUAUCUUUUAUUCAUGCAAUUCCUGUUGUGCUUCCUGUUCUACGAUUUUUUGUUUGACCCGCUCUCUUCUUUAGCAUCCUAUGGGCCUUGAAUAAAUAAAAUAAAUUAAUAUAAUGAAUUAAUUGAAUAGGCCAAGGCAACUUACAUGUUUCUUUCAGACAAGCAUUUGUCUUCCACCCCGGUGGCUUAGCGGCUAUAGUGUUGUGCUGCUAAGCACAGUGUUGCGGGUUCAAAUUCCAGCUGCAGCGCCUGCAUUUUGAUGGGGGUGAAAUGCAAGAAUGCCCGUGUCCCAUGCACUGAGGGCACGUUAAAGAUCCCCUGGUGGUCCCCCAAUACGGCGUGCCUCAUAAUCAAAUCUUGCUUUUGGCUCGUAAAAGCCCAGAAUUCAAUUCAAGCAUUUGUCUACACUGUGCCAUACAUUUUCCGCUAAUGCAGCCUUCAUACUUCAGAUUUUACUUAGGGUAUUUAAGAGCACUAUAUUUUAAGUUUUCUUGGUGGCCCAAAUGAGCCCUUUCCACACUGUUGGUAGUGUCAAUGUGGGGGACCCUUAUUAAAAAAAAAAAGAGAGAGAGAAAAACAGUAAUCAAUUCUGUAUCUAUGGGGCAUUUUACUUUGUUAAUUCAAUUUCGGGAACAGUAUAUUAACUUAUAAGCAGUAGAGAAAGAUACACUGAACAACACUGAGCAUGCUUGUUCCGUAGCAAAAUAAGUAAGGUUAAGUACAAACUUUCUUUACGUAGUGAGCUUACUCACAACGCCUGUUGUAAUGAGGCUUAGUUUUGUACCUUUAAACAUGUCUUCUUUUGUCGGGGGGAAAUGAAUGGCCAGCUAAAUCGUUGUCUAACCUUUCACACUCCCUUUACUCUGGACAUCUAUUUUUGCUCAACUAAAAUUGCCAUCACUUGCAAAGGAAAAUCGGCAAAGCGCCGGACAGAUAUAGCCUGAGGUCUGUCUGUCUGAGCACGGUAACAAUGCCAUGGUUGAUAAAUAUAGCCCUGCAGUGUAGUCAUGUUAUGCUGGCUUAAAGGCUUUUGUGUGCAUUACCGAAUAGUGGCCCACUGCCGCGUUUCACUGCUACCACAAAGAUUCUCAGAGAUCUGCACGGUGUCGUUAGAGCACAUCCCCGAUGAUCUUAACAACCUUGGGGCUCAAUGGUUAAUGGAAAACAUCGGAGAAAUUAUUCAAGCUUUUUAUUUUCAAUAUGCUGUUUUGACUAAUGCGUGCCCUAUGAUCUAGGUUAGCAGAUUUUCAUCCCAUUUAAUUAUUCGACACCCUAAAGAUGCAGACGUCCUUGCUGAAAAAGGAAAAACCAACCAGUAGCUUUUUCUCAAUAUCAAGGGAUGCAUAAAGCAUAAAAUGAAGCAUAAAUUAAGUCAUGGCUACAUUUUGAGCCAUCUGAUAAACAAUGUAUAUUGAAUAAAAAGUGCAACAAUGAAUUAUUGUGGUUUGCAUGUGUUAUUGGAAUAAUAUGAUUAAAUAUUUUAUAAACUGUUAGUGGCAUGGAAUCUUUGUGUUCAAAUAUCUGAUUAUCCGGCUAAAUGGUUAUUAAAACUGGAUAUCCUGAAUAUUUGUUGUUCUAAGUCCAGGUCACCGAUUUUCAAAGCCAAAUUCUGUUUUUUUUUUUCAGGUUGAACCAGAUAGCCGGUUUGACGGAUAUUUACAAGCACUAGUGAUUCCCCAGUGCUCACCAGUGGUGCAAAAAGUGCCACCUGCCAUGCGGGCCGAUUAUCUGUUUGAAUCACUCUACACUGCAAACCUGUGUUAUGCCCUUUAUGUGCUGUGUUGUCAUGGCCUUUGCAGUGAUGAGUGUUUAGUGUUACCUCUUCAUAAUGUGUUGUUGACAUAAGUACCUAUUGACUUGACAGAGGAGUUUAUCAUGUAAUAUACCUGGUACAUUUAAGGGACCCUGCAGCACCUUUUAGUAGCAUUCCACACCUUUCAUGGAAUGAUUUCAUACUUUUUGUGGAUUUGAGGUGUGAGAUUUGUCUUGCAUUAAAGGACAUCUCACAAAUAUUUUCUCAGAAAAGUUUUAGAGUUCACAUUGUAUGAAUGGUCAUAUCAUCAAUCAAAUACUGCUGCUGCCAUGACCUUGUGUCCGUCUUCUCCUUUUCACUAUUAGAACUGAGCUCAAAGCUGUGUCGUCGUGCCCAUGAUUGCCCACAAUAUUUUGCUAUAGUUGUGUUGAGCUUUAGUAUCUGCAGGAUCUCGAGGUUGUAUGGCGCAUCCCUCCGUUGUGCCGGUUGUAAGCUUUGAGGCCGUAGCAUAGGUUCGGUGGUAUCACCAUCUGCCACCAGAUAGUGUCACUGCCUUGUUAGUCACGUGAUUUCUCUGCUCCUUUUCCUAAUGCACUGCUUAGUCAUGCCAUCCAAAGAAAUUUGAACAAUGACCCUUCUUUUCAAAAGUGCAUGGAAUGUACUAGAAAAGUGCUAUGGAUGGUCUUAUGUGGUCCUGUGAACAAAAUGGUAGGCUCCCUGCUGUGUGGGGAGGAAUACUAUUAGGUUCAGAUGUUCAUAAUGGUAUCGUUUAGUGAGCAACCAGCUUUAAUUACCAUGUUGAGAUAGCACUGCACUUAGUUCAGUACUUGCCAGCCUGCUGAGUUUGAAUUUAGCCUGGUUUUUCACACAUUUUGAUUCGAACAGUAAAUUAUUUCCUCAUUGGGGGUUGCAUAAUAUCAUUAAAGUGACACUGAAGGUGAUCUUAUAGGUCAAUUAUUUGCUUGUGAAAAUUUGGAUCCAGAUUGCCUACACAGUGUUUUGUGGGUUCUGUGCUUGUUAAAAAGUGUCUUUCACAAAAAAAAAAGCAUAGGUUAAAAAAGGCCUGUUUGUACUUCCACGCGCCAAUGACGUGAGAGAUGACUUGGUGAUAUUGCAGCAGGCGCUAUUGGAAUCAUGGGGUGCCUUUGGCUUGACUCAGCAACAUUAGGUUGGCUUAGCUAGAUAGCAUUGCUGAAAAUGGAGGUGAAUGAGGAGAUGCCUGCAUGUGAUGUACUUGGCAUAUGGUUCUUUCACAGAGCGAAGUCUCUCCGAGUGCAAGUGGGAGGCCUUCAUUGGAGAUGGAGUGUUGUUUCUGCUUGCCAAGAUACCAGCUCACAAACUUUUUCAUUCUUGCUCAUACAAAUGCAGACUCUCCCACUUGCAUCUCUGCAUUCCAGGGCUCGUCACAUGGUUUCAGGAUUGCUUCAUGGUGCAGUGUUGGGGUGCCAUGUAGGGUUCACAUUGUACAUGAUAGGAGCCGAGCCCAAUUUUCACACGAAGCCAUUGAUCAGUGUCCUGUUGCCACAACUUGCUUAUCCUUGCGAUCUUUCUUUUUAUUUUAUUUUUUUAAGCAUCGCAGAGACAUUGGUACUGCACUUCUAAGCAGGAGGUUGCAGGAUCAAAUCCCAGCCGCGGCGGCUGCAUUUCGAUAGGGGUGAAAUGCAAAAAUGCCUGUGUCCCAUGCAUUGUGGGCAAGAUCCCCUGGUGGUCAAAAUUAAACUGGAGUCCCUCACUAUGGCGUGCUUCAUAAUCAAAUUGUGGUUUUGGCAUGUAAAGCCCCAGAAUUCAAUUCAAAUGAAAAUGUAAUGAAACACUAUUGCACUGAAUGUCAGUGUGGUCAACAAAAACUAUGGCAGUAUUAGCUAAACAUUUGCGUGUUAUUGACUCGUGGCUUUCAAAAUUUUUUGCCAGGGCUGAUUUAGUCACAAGCUGUUUCCUCUCAUUGUGAGGUUUGGAAAUACUAAGUUUCAGACCCCAACAGAAUGGUGCAUUAGGGACCUAUCCGACAUGGUCGUAUACAUCCAAGAUUGGAAUUCACUUUUGUGUCCCUUUAAGAUAGAAUUUGUGUCCCUUUAAGAUUGAAUAUUUGUAUGCUGACAAGGAAGCACGCAGCAGUAUUGAAUAUUCGUAUGCUGACGAGGAAGCACGCAGCAGUGUCCACACCUUCAGUAUAUUUUUUCUUGAUAAGCAGUGGGUUUAAUAAAUCAUUUCUUUUAUAUCUAUAACGGUAGGUUGUGUCGGCUUUUGUAAAAUUGUUUGUGAAACUCACUUAUGUUACGGAUAUUUCAAUUUCUUUUCUGUUGUCACCAUUCAUGAUUACAGGUUUCUUGGUUCUGAUGUUGAGGAAGUUAUGAAGAGUUUGGAUGAUAAGAUAAAGACCUGCAAUGAGAAGAUAAAGAGCCUUGAGAGCAACAAGGCCUACUUGGAAAAGAGCCUCAAGGAGUCCGAGAACAACCUUAGGGAAAUGAUUGUUCAAAAGCAGAGCAUGCAUUGACAUGGCAAGGUUAGGUACUUAACACGCGACAUUAAUUAUUUAUGCAAAUGUUAGGAAAAUGUUACCACAUCAGAAAUCAUUCGAACCAUGGGCACCCAAAGUGAUGCUGUAAAAUACCUUCAUUAGUUUGUUGGGACGCCUUGUUUUCAUUACCUGCCUGUGGGGAAACCAUUAAUUUAUCUUAUCUGGAAAAUAUACUGAGCUUUUCUCUAUGGUUAUAUUGUUUUGUGCAAAACAACCAAGAAGUCAUUUUGUACACUGUGAGUUUGCCUCGAUUUUCUAAAAUAAACAGUUGAUGUGAAACUGAAA